rnacentral:tRNA from 1 species
AUGAAUGUAGUUAAAAUGGAAUAAUCUAAUAUUUCCCAGUAUUAAGUUGUCAGUUCGAAUCUGAUCAUUCAUA